rnacentral:rRNA from 1 species
UACAGAGGUCCCAACCGUUGUUCGGAUUCAUUGGGCGUAAAGGGUGCGUAGGCGGCGGGGCAAGUCAGGUGUGAAAUCUCGGGGCUCAACCCCGAAACUGCACUUGAUACUGCCUUGCUCGAGUACUGGAGAGGAGACUGGAAUUUACGGUGUAGCAGUGAAAUGCGUAGAUAUCGUAAGGAAGACCAGUGGCGAAGGCGGGUUACUGGGCUGAUACUGACGCUGAUGCGCGAAAGCCAGGGGAGCAAACGGG